GAUGAACGCUGGCGGCGUGCCUAAUACAUGCAAGUCGAGCGAACGGACGAGAAGCUUGCUUCUCUGAUGUUAGCGGCGGACGGGUGAGUAACACGUGGAUAACCUACCUAUAAGACUGGGAUAACUUCGGGAAACCGUAGCUAAUACCGGAUAAUAUUUUGAACCGCAUGGUUCAAAAGUGAAAGACGGUCUUGCUGUCACUUAUAGAUGGAUCCGCGCUGCAUUAGCUAGUUGGUAAGGUAACGGCUUACCAAGGCAACGAUGCAUAGCCGACCUGAGAGGGUGAUCGGCCACACUGGAACUGAGACACGGUCCAGACUCCUACGGGAGGCAGCAGUAGGGAAUCUUCCGCAAAGGGCGAAAGCCUGACGGAGCAACGCCGCGUGAGUGAUGAAGGUCUUCGGAUCGUAAAACUCUGUUAUUAGGGAAGAACAUAUGUGUAAGUAACUGUGCACAUCUUGACGGUACCUAAUCAGAAAGCCCCGGCUAACUACGUG
rnacentral:rRNA from 1 species